AGUGAACGCUGGCGGUAGGCCUAACACAUGCAAGUCGAACGGCAGCACAGUAAGAGCUUGCUCUUACGGGUGGCGAGUGGCGGACGGGUGAGGAAUACAUCGGAAUCUACUUUUUCGUGGGGGAUAACGUAGGGAAACUUACGCUAAUACCGCAUACGACCUACGGGUGAAAGCAGGGGAUCUUCGGACCUUGCGCGAUUGAAUGAGCCGAUGUCGGAUUAGCUAGUUGGCGGGGUAAAGGCCCACCAAGGCGACGAUCCGUAGCUGGUCUGAGAGGACGAUCAGCCACACUGGAACUGAGACACGGUCCAGACUCCUACGGGAGGCAGCAGUGGGGAAUAUUGGACAAUGGGCGCAAGCCUGAUCCAGCCAUACCGAGUGGGUGAAGAAGGCCUUCGGGUUGUAAAGCCCUUUUGUUGGGAAAGAAAAGCAGCAGGUUAAUACCCCGCUGUUCUGACGGUACCCAAAGAAUAAGCACCGGCUAACUUCGUG
rnacentral:rRNA from 1 species